rnacentral:rRNA from 1 species
GGUAACGGCCUACCAAGACGAUGAUGCGUAGCCGACCUGAGAGGGUGACCGGCCACACUGGGACUGAGACACGGCCCAGACUCCUACGGGAGGCAGCAGUAGGGAAUUUUCGGCAAUGGGCGCAAGCCUGACCGAGCAACGCCGCGUGAGUGAUUAAGGCCUUCGGGUUGUAAAGCUCUGUUGUAAGGGAAGAACAUUCAGGAUAGGAAAUGAUCUUGAACUGACGGUACCUUACCAGAAAGCCACGGCUAACUACGUGCCAGCAGCCGCGGUAAUACGUAGGUGGCAAGCGUUAUCCGGAAUUAUUGGGCGUAAAGGGUGCGUAGGCGGUUUAUUAAGUCUAUGGUGAAAGUGCGGGGCUCAACCCCGUAUGGCCAUAGAAACUGGUAGACUUGAGUGCAGGAGAGGGCAAUGGAAUUCCAUGUGUAGCGGUAAAAUGCGUAGAUAUAUGGAGGAACACCAGUGGCGAAGGCGGUUGCCUGGCCUGUAACUGACGCUGAAGCACGAAAGCGUGGGGAGCAAAUAGGAUUAGAUACCCUAGUAGUCCACGCCGUAAACGAUGAAUACUAAGUGUUGGAGAAAAUUCAGUGCUGCAGUUAACGC